rnacentral:rRNA from 1 species
GGAAGGCAGCAGGCGCGCAAAUUAUCCACUCCCGGCACGGGGAGAUAGUGACGAAAAAUAACAAUACGGGACUCUUUUGAGACCCCGUAAUUGGAAUGAGUACACUCUAAAUCCUUUAACGAGGACCCAUUGGAGGGCAAGUCUGGUGCCAGCAGCUGCGGUAAUUCCAGCUCCAAUAGCGUAUAUUAAAGUUGUUGCGGUUAAAAAGCUCGUAGUUGGAUCUCAGAUCGAGUCGAAUGGUCCGCCUACCGGUGGUUACUGUUUGUGCUCAUCAUUCCGCCGGUUUCCUUUGAUGAUCUUUACCGGUUGUCUUGGGUGACCGGCAAGUUUACUUUGAAAAAAUUAGGGUGCUCAAAGCGGGCGUGACGCCUGAAUAAUGGUGCAUGGAAUAAUGGAAUAGGACCUCGGUUCUAUUUUGUUGGUUUUCGGAACACGAGGUAAUGAUUAAGAGGGACAGACGGGGGCAUUCGUAUUGCGACGCUAGAGGUGAAAUUCUUGGACCGUCGCAAGACGAACUACUGCGAAAGCAUUUGCCAAGAAUGUUUCCAUUAAUCAAGAACGAAAGUUAGAGGUUCGAAGGCGAUCAGAUACCGCCCUAGUUCUAACCAUAAACGAUGCCAGCCAGCGAUCCGGCUGUGUUCCUCAAAUGACACGCCGGGCAGCUUCCGGGAAGCCAAAGCUUUUGGGUUCC